UAAGCUAUAGCUUAAUUAAAGCGCCCGUUUGUUAAUCGGGAAGAUGUAAUAAAUGUUUAUACUUGCUUAG
rnacentral:tRNA from 1 species